UCCUAUAGGGUGGCGCUGGAGGGGGCGGGGAGACCGGAAGGGGCGGAGCUUAGCGGGCUGCUCCCGAGAUCCGCCCCCCGGAAGUUGUGGGCGCGGCUCUUCCGGGUUUGUCUGGAUCUCUGCGCCGCCGGUUGGCUGCGGCUGGAGCAAGCCCGCCCCUACGGACCAAUCGGCAUCCGGCUUGGCCCGCGAGGCCCCGCCCACCCCUCGCCAAGCCCCGCCCACGCGGAAUAAAACCAAAGGGGGGCGUGGCCUCGGCCUCCAUCCUUUUA